rnacentral:rRNA from 1 species
UACGGAGGAUUCGAGCGUUAUCCGGAUUUAUUGGGUUUAAAGGGAGCGUAGGCGGGUUGUUAAGCCAGUUGUGAAAGUUUGCGGCUCAACCGUAAAAUUGCAGUUGAUACUGGCAUCCUUGAGUACAGUAGAGGUAGGCGGAAUUCGUGGUGUAGCGGUGAAAUGCUUAGAUAUCACGAAGAACUCCGAUUGCGAAGGCAGCCUGCUGGACUGUAACUGACGCUGAUGCUCGAAAGUGUGGGUAUCAAACAGG